GUGAACUCCGCAAUUGGGACUAAGUCGUAACAAGGUAGCCGUAGGGGAACCUGCGGCUGGAUCACCUCCUUUCUAAGGAUUA
rnacentral:rRNA from 1 species